rnacentral:lncRNA from 1 species
CUAAGUUUUGAGAAAUCAAUUUGUUCAAAAGAUGCAUGUUUAUAUAUGCAACUCUACGAUGCCAUAGCCAAGUAUCAUCCCUUUGCUCAUUAGGCAAUCCACAUAUUCGGGUGAAGAAUUAGCAAGAUCAACCAUGUAAAUAUUAUCCACUCUAAAACCACGAAGGAUAAUAUUGAAAUCACUACGUCUAAACACUAAGCAUUCAUCCGAAUCAAAUAGGGCAAGAUUUCCCUUG